UACGUAGGGGGCAAGCGUUGUCCGGAAUUAUUGGGCGUAAAGAGCUCGUAGGCGGCUUAGUAAGUCGGCGGUGAAAUACCGAGGCUCAACCUCGGCACUGCCGUCGAUACUGCUAUGGCUAGAGUUUGGUAGAGGAGAACGGAAUUCCCGGUGUAGAGGUGAAAUUCGUAGAUAUUGGGAAGAACACCAGUGGCGAAGGCGGCUAACUGGUCCAGAUCUGACGCUGAGGUGCGAAAGCGUGGGGAGCAAACAGGG
rnacentral:rRNA from 1 species